AGCCUAAUGACUUAUAUUAGGUAAAGUCUGCCCGGUGAUUAUUUUAACGGCCGCAGUACUUUGACUGUGCUAAGGUAGCAAAAUAAAUAGGCUUUUAAUUAAGGUCGAGUAUGAAUGGCAUUAUGGGUGAAAGCUGUCUUAUACAUACAAUAUAAAUUUAAUUAGUGGGUGAAAAUGCCCACAUUUUAAAUAUUAGACGAGAAGACCCUUAGAGUUUUUAAAUAAGCAUGCACUAAAUGCGAUAAAAUGAUUUUUUUUGUUGGGGCGACAUAGUAUCAAUAUAGCAUACUUCAUUAUACACAUGUACAAAUCUUUUUUAUAAAUGAAUAUAACUACCUAAGGGAUAACAGCAUAAUUUUAUUUUAAAGAUUGUGACCUCGAUGUUGGACUAGGGACUAAAUAUAUAAGCCAUAUAUUUAGAAUAUUCUGUUCGAAUAAAUUUUACC
rnacentral:rRNA from 1 species